AAGUAUUAUGUAUCAGAAAUGAGGGGCAAACAAAGAAGAGGUAAUUGCAUUGUGGUGAUUGAUAGGUGUUCUCCCCAAAUGGAGGUACUUAGAGCUUCAUUUCCACCUGAUGUUGCUCUCCUUUAUACUUCUUUGGUUCUUCUAUCCAAACCAGGUGGUUGCUACAGGUAAUGUGAGGUACUUGACUAGAACUUCAGACACAGCCUAGUCCAGUUGUCCUGCUCCUUACUUAAUUUUAAAUUACAUUCAGUUCACUGAAUUGCCUGCAAAGCACUUUUGUUAUAAAUAGGAUAUUCCAGUAAUGAUGUACCUUACAGAGUUGUUGCCAAAAUUAUAGACAUGAAUUAUCUGGAGUAUUCUGAAUGUACUUUUCAGCUUUGCCUAAAGGCUUGGAGCUGUCAUUACAUUUGCUCAAGAGUAGACAUUUUCUUUGCCCCAAAUUCCAGUCCUUUGAGCCUCCAAGCCAAUCCAUGGUGCUCUAUCUUUUGCCCCACUAUCCAAUGGGACACUGCACAAAUCCCCUUGAGAUUAUUUAAUUUGGGAUUCUGAUCAACAUUCCUUGAAAAUGGGUGGUAAAUAUUUGGAGGGCUGGGGGCUGCAUUUGGCCUUUAAAUACCACGUUGGGGUGUCACUCAGAAAGUGGCAGGCCAAGACAAAAACUAAGUCUGAUUUAAUUUAAAUUAAUACAUUUUUAAUAAUUGCUUUUCAUCUGCUUCAUAGUUGCCCCUUCUGUCACAUUACCUAUUACAGAUUGGCAACCUAAAACCUGGGGACAGGUUGUCUCUUAAAAUAGAUAAAGAGUGAUGAUUAGUGGAAGAGAAGUAAUUAGAUAGCUAGUAUGUCAGAUAUAUAAUAAUAGGAUAAGUAGAAAAUGUAGAAUCAGGAAGACGGGCAAAAAGAACAAACGAGGAGGGAAAAAUUUAAAUGAAUCAAGAAAGGAGCUGUAUAGAUCACUCCUCCCUCAUUCCAAGAUAACUUGUUAUGAUGGCUGGUUGGAAUUCGAAACUAACAACUUUUAAGAAUGUUGAAAGCCCUCUAUUCCACUUUCAUAGCCAGACUGUUUGAACCUGCUUCAGAUCCUGGAUCUGGCAAUGAUGGCUGGGAAUUCUGGCAGUUUUAAUCCAGCAGAUUUGGAGAGUGCUAGAAGAGCUCCUUUACAGCCAUGAGUCCAUUUUCUCAAACACGUAAUUUUGGAAUAGAGUAAGAUAGGAUAUUGGUCUAUUUUAAUGAAGUAUGAAAAUUACCAAACUGGGAUUAGUGGUGUUUCUAAGUGGCUUGCUUGGGUGCAUGAAUUGCACUAAACCAGCCUUUCUCAAUUUUUUGACCCUGGAGGAACCCUUGAAAUAUUUUUCAGGCCUGGGCGAACCCCUGCACAUUCAAGCUCAAAUAUAGGCCGGAAGUUACAAAAUUAUGAUAUUCGUUUCAUGGGUAGGCCUGAAUAUAUGCAUUAACAGUGUUCUAAACUGAAAAUAAAGAAUGAAACUUACCUCUUUAAUGCGAAGUUGCCCAAAUUUGAAAUAAUUUUUUAACUAAAUUGUGAUCUCCCAGGGAACCCCUAGUGACCUCUCGCGGAACCAGAGGGAGCCACUGAGCCCUGGUUGAGAAACCCCGCACUAAACUAUGACUUGUCUAGUUAUGGUUUAUGAAAUAACUAAAAAGGGGCUGGGUUGGCAUGUCAUAUUAAUUUAAACAACCCACGUUAUCAAUUAAAGUACUGUGUGAACCAGUCAUCUAAUGUCUUAACUUUUUCCGUUUCUUUGAUUUGCCUAAUUCAUAACAUUUUAGAUUAGAGAACUUCCUGUAUUUCCUAUUCAAGAUGCAAAUUCUAAAUAAAACUGUUUAUUCAA